GUAACAUGGAAUAGAUAUUCAUAAGAACAAUGUGGGAGCAGUUCAUGUGCUUUUAUCCGAGCUCUGAUAUAGAGCUGUUCUGUGUCUAUAACUGCUUCUCUCUCCAGCCUGACAGAUGCAGGGCUUGACUCUCUGGAGAGCUUGUUGUCGGCAGGACAGUUUGUCACUCUGCACUUCUUCAUGGAUCAGGUGCUCCUUCCUGAAGGAAGAUGUCUGGUCCUCAUUAAUACCUUGCUGUUGCUUCCAUUAAAGGCAUGUGUCCAGCAGUAACUCAGAUCUCCCAAGCUGACCUAACCUGAACGCAUUCAUAGGCAGAAGUGAGGAUCUUUACAGCUCCGUGGAUGAUUUUGAGCUUCAAACAUGAGGACAUCAAGUUGAUUUAAAGUGCCUGGUGUCUGUGAGCAGCUGGCCAGUUGUAUUCAGACAAUCAAUCCAUCUGCCACCCUGCCCCAGCAGAUCUAGCCGACAGCGCGCCGGGCAUUUUGUGCCGCCCGUGAAGUGGCUGAUCUCUGAAGCUCUCACUGAUGUGGCAAAUUCACUGUGAAAUGAGAAACUUUCUCCUGCGUGCUUGUGUUGGACUAAUUACCUACAAGCUGACUGAUGGGGAAAAGCAGCGAAUGAAAUUAAUAAUGCUAAGAGUGAUAUCAUCCAUCUUUUGCAGCAUCUCAGGGGAAGCAAUUUAGACCUUUUUAUACACGCAACAAGUGUCAAUUAAAAUGACUGACUGUGACGCCCGUAGCUACAGAUGUUUGCGAGAGGAUUUGAACAUGAAGUAAUGAUUGCAGUGUUUGUGAAUGUAUUGUUGAUACAUAUCCACUGCUGAAUAUGCACUGCAUAUAAGUUUAUUUAUUUCUUCCAUUAGGCAAUAACAUUUUUAGUGAUAUUGAAUAUUUUGGAUACUUCUAAAAAAUCAUAUUUUAUGCUUAAAGUCAAUGACUUCUAGUCAACACUUUUUUAUAAUAUUCCUGCUGAUUCUGAUAUGUCAUUUGCAAUGCUUUUGGGGAUAAAUUCAUUUUUUCUCCUCAUUUUACAGUACCUCUGCUUUGAAUCAAAUGUUGUAAUAAUUCAUCUUGUAUUCUUUGGUUCAUAAAAUAAUUUUUCAAAAUGCCUAGGGAGAAAAUAAAUGGAAAAUGCAAUUCCGGAUCCCAGGCUGAUGAAAAUGUGGCAGUCACAUUUUAUUGAAAAAUAAAUUUUUAAUGCUUUAAAAAAAAAAAAAAAAAUCAUUAUAUCUAAUAGGGUCCAUUUGAUGACUGUGAUCUCAAAAUAAGGAUAUUAUUUGAGAAUAAAAAGCUA